rnacentral:rRNA from 1 species
UGGCGGACGGGUGAGUAACGCGUGGGUAACCUGCCUUGUACAGGGGGAUAACAGUUGGAAACGGCUGCUAAUACCGCAUAAGCGCACAGCAUCGCAUGAUGCAGUGUGAAAAACUCCGGUGGUAUAAGAUGGACCCGCGUUGGAUUAGCUAGUUGGUGAGGUAACGGCCCACCAAGGCGACGAUCCAUAGCCGACCUGAGAGGGUGACCGGCCACAUUGGGACUGAGACACGGCCCAAACUCCUACGGGAGGCAGCAGUGGGGAAUAUUGCACAAUGGGCGAAAGCCUGAUGCAGCGACGCCGCGUGAGCGAAGAAGUAUUUCGGUAUGUAAAGCUCUAUCAGCAGGGAAGAUAAUGACGGUACCUGACUAAGAAGCACCGGCUAAAUACGUGCCAGCAGCCGCGGUAAUACGUAUGGUGCAAGCGUUAUCCGGAUUUACUGGGUGUAAAGGGAGCGCAGGCGGUGCGGCAAGUCUGAUGUGAAAGCCCGGGGCUCAACCCCGGUACUGCAUUGGAAACUGUCGUACUAGAGUGCCGGAGGGGUAAGCGGAAUUCCUAGUGUAGCGGUGAAAUGCGUAGAUAUUAGGAGGAACACCAGUGGCGAAGGCGGCUUACUGGACGAUAACUGACGCUGAGGCUCGAAAGCGUGGGGAGCAAACAGGAUUAGAUACCCUG